UCCGCCCCCCGCUUUAAUUCCUUCCUGCCUCCUCCCAGCCUCACGUCCUGCCGGCCUCCCCUCUCCCAGCCUGACCGAGUUGCUUAAUGGCCCAGUAGAAAUUCACCCCGCCGGCCCCUCCCUUCUUCCCUUCUCGACCCCGCCCCGUCACCUCUGCCAGCCCGCUCCCUCCGCAACCUUCCUCUACUACCUCCUCCGUGCUCCUCGGGGCUCUCACCCUCACUUGGGUCCCGCCCCCCUAGAGCCAGAGAGUGAGCUCCCUGCGGCCUGGAGACGCACAAAGCAGCGCCUUCCCAGCCCCUGGCUCCGCACACGGUUGAUCCACAGUGUGUUUGAUGGAGAGAUGGUUCAAAGGGCGACUGCGGGGCAGGCUGGACCCGGGGACUCUUCAGAUCUCUGCAAGGGGGUUGAAGACCCCAGAACCCAAAAGCCUGCCCUGAACCCACAGCCCCCGGGAUGGGGAAGGUUCUGGAAGCUGGAAGUCAGAUUUGAAGAUCCAAGGCGAACUGUGAUCCAAGGCAGAACCAUCAAGAGGAAAUAAUUAUCAACAACAGGUCCUUGAGGAAGAAAAGAUUAACAUUACUCGGUGAUCAGAAGUGGGAGCCACAGAAGAGCCGUCCCCCUCCCAACAACUCUGAGGCUGGUGAGCGAAAAGGGCACGGAACCCCAAAAGCUGACUGAGCUGCAGUACUUUCUUCCCAACCACGGAGGUUGAUAAAGGCGAGAUACCACCAUGGGGUAAAACCCUAAUAGCUUCCGUGAGAAACUAACCGCGGUGUGACAGAACACUCUCUUCAGUGCGUCCUCCCGGGAGCUGACGACCUUAAGCCUCACACCUUGCAACCUGGCGAUUUCACCUGUUGGAAAAGACCAGCCCCCAGGAAGGCUGUCUUCGACCUCGCUGGAAGGCCCUUCUCCGGUACCAUUCACCGCCUCCACGUGACGGGUCCAGCCCUGGCCGGGCCUGCGUACCAGCGGUGACUCCUAAGCAGAGACGUCCCAGAACCAAAGCAGAGGGCGUCUGACAAGACCGUUUCCCCGCGUUGUCCGAUGUCUGUGGAGCAGGCCUGGGUGCCUUUUCCUCACUGUCGCUUCUUUUCUUUUUUCAUGGGAACACAGCGCCCUUGUCUGCAUUUCUCAAGCCCUUGAGGAAAGGGGAGCGGGGGAGACACUCUGUUUUUGAAUAUGGACUUGCAGAAAUUAUUUCAUGAUGACAGAUUAAUGUUUCACUUAUUUUUUCUUCUCUUAUAUUUUAUUUUUUAAAGUUAUUUAUUUUU